UGCUAAUACCCGAUAUGCCGAGAGGUGAAAAGUAAUUCGCCUGAAGAUGAGCUCGCGUCUGAUUAGCUAGUUGGUAGUGUAAGAGCCUACCAAGGCGAUGAUCAGUAGCUGGUCUGAGAGGAUGAGCAGCCACACUGGGACUGAGACACGGCCCAGACUCCUACGGGAGGCAGCAGUGGGGAAUUUUCCGCAAUGGGCGAAAGCCUGACGGAGCAACGCCGCGUGAGGGAUGAAGGUCUUUGGAUUGUAAACCUCUUUUCUCAGGGAAGAAGUUCUGACGGUACCUGAGGAAUCAGCAUCGGUUAACUCCGUGCCAGCAGCCGCGGUAAUACGGAGGAUGCAAGCGUUAUCCGGAAUUAUUGGGCGUAAAGCGUUCGUAGGCGGUUAUUUAAGUCUGCUGUUAAAGCACGGAGCUUAACUCCGGGAGAGCAGUGGAAACUGAGUGACUAGAGUAUGGUAGGGGUAGAGGGAAUUCCCAGUGUAGCGGUGAAAUGCGUAGAUAUUGGGAAGAACACCGGUGGCGAAAGCGCUCUACUAGGCCAUAACUGACGCUGAGGGACGAAAGCUAGGGGAGCGAAAGGGAUUAGAUACCC
rnacentral:rRNA from 1 species